GCCCGAAAGGGAACCUGAACACAGGUGCUGCAUGGCUGUCGUCAGCUCGUGUCGUGAGAUGUUCGGUUAAGUCCGCUAACGAGCGCAACCCUCGCUGUGUGUUACAAGUGUCACACGGAACUGCCGGUCAUAAACCGGAGGAAGGUGGGAUGACGUCAAGUCAGCAUGGCCUUUAUAUCCUGGGCUACACACACGCUACAAUGGGAAGGGACAAUAGGUUGCGAAGCCGCGAGGCGGAGCCAAUCCAGCAAAACUUCCCUCAGUUCAGAUUGCAGGCUGCAACUCGCCUGCAUGAAGUUGGAGUUGCUAGUAAACGCAGGUCAGCCAUACUGCGUUGAAUACGUUCCCGGGGCUU
rnacentral:rRNA from 1 species